rnacentral:rRNA from 1 species
AUUGAACGCUGGCGGCAUGCCUUACACAUGCAAGUCGAACGGCAGCACGGGAGCAAUCCUGGUGGCGAGUGGCGAACGGGUGAGUAAUAUAUCGGAACGUGCCCAGUCGUGGGGAUAACGUAGCGAAAGCUACGCUAAUACCGCAUACGAUCUAUGGAUGAAAGCGGGGGAUCGCAAGACCUCGCGCGAUUGGAGCGGCCGAUAUCAGAUUAGGUAGUUGGUGAGGUAAAGGCUCACCAAGCCGACGAUCUGUAGCUGGUCUGAGAGGACGACCAGCCACACUGGGACUGAGACACGGCCCAGACUCCUACGGAGGCAGCAGUGGGGAAUUUUGGACAAUGGGCGCAAGCCUGAUCCAGCAAUGCCGCGUGCAGGAUGAAGGCCUUCGGUUGUAACUGCUUUGUUA